UGCACAAGAUCAUUAGAAGAGCUGCUUGGAGCUAGGAAAGCUUAUCAAUGCCUCUUUGACCAAUCAAUCGAGGAUGUUGCUUCUCGACUUGAAGGCAUCGGACACAAGGAUCUUGACACUCUAAUGAGUUUGAAGGAGACACUUUAGUGCCUAUGCAAUCCCCAAGCAUAUUUCAGUAAGGUCUUAAAUGAUGCAGACGAGAAUACCAAAGAAGCCCUAACUCAAGUAAUAGUGACACGGAGCAAUGUUGAUAUGAAGGAAAUCAUAGAAGAAUUUGAUAAGCAAUAUAAAAUUCCUCUAAUCUAGAAGAUUGAAGAUGUAGCUCUUGGAAACUAUAAGGAUUUCUUGGUGAGCUUGAUUAGAAGAGUGGCCUAAUAAGAAUACAACUUGCAUUUCUUUAGUCAAUAUUUUAACAAUCUUUUCCAUUCUUGUAAACAUGUACAAACACGUUUGAUGACAUUAGUGAUAAAAUUAAAUUAAGCUUGUAUUUGUUAGGAAGUUUGUUAAGAGUUUGUUAUGCCAGCUCAGAUUGUAAGUAAUUAACUAAACCCUCUUGUAAUAGCUAUAUAUAUCAUAAUCAAUAAUAGACUUAAGUGAGUGUCGUCAUUCUCACCAAA